CCUACGGGAGGCAGCAGUGGGGGAUAUUGCACAAUGGGGGAAACCCUGAUGCAGCGACGCCGCGUGGGUGAAGAAGCGCCUCGGCGCGUAAAGCCCUGUCAGCAGGGAAGAAAAUGACGGUACCUGAAGAAGAAGCCCCGGCUAACUACGUGCCAGCAGCCGCGGUAAUACGUAGGGGGCAAGCGUUAUCCGGAUUUACUGGGUGUAAAGGGGGCGCAGACGGCGAUGCAAGCCAGGAGUGAAAGCCCGGGGCCCAACCCCGGGACUGCUCUUGGAACUGCGUGGCUAGAGUGCAGGAGGGGCAGGCGGAAUUCCUGGUGUAGCGGUGAAAUGCGUAGAGAGCAGGAGGAACACCGGUGGCGAAGGCGGCCUGCUGGACUGCAACUGACGUUGAGGCCCGAAAGCGUGGGGAGCAAACAGGAUUAGAUACCCCAGUAGUC
rnacentral:rRNA from 1 species